UUAAUAAACACCACACCCUUUGAUUGUGAAAUAAUUCUAUAUGUGUAUAUUUGCAAUAUGCAAACGUUUUAAAAUAAAUUGUAAAACUUAGGAAGACCAUCCAACGAACCCAACGGAUAAAGGGAAUUAAAGAGAAAUAUGAAAAUAAAUCACAUUCAAUAACGGUGGAAGUUGUAAUACUGGAUUGGAAAUUGGCUGCCUAUACGACAGUUUGCAAAUUGGUUUUGAGACUUGCCUAACUAAUACCUAUUGCAAAUGCGAAAGUCAGUUGUUUGUUACUCAACCACGACAUAACAACUAAGCCGAACCAAUUGACGAAAAUAACUAUGUAGAUAAGGGUACAAUCUCACAACCAUCGAUUAAAUUAUCAUAGCUCAAUAGUCC